AUUUUCGCACAUGCGCAGUUUGCAUCUUCGCAUCACCGAAGGCUUACUAGCUAACAGACCGGUGUUACUUUGACUAACGUUCUUCUUUUCUUUCAAUAAAUACUUUUUCAAAUGGAUAUCGAGGGUGGUGCGUAUGAGCCAGGCUUUGUCGGGAUACGAUUCUGUCAAGAAUGUAAUAACAUGUUAUAUCCUAAAGAAGACAAGGAGAACCGCAUCCUGCUGUACGCCUGCAGGAACUGUGACUACCAGCAAGAGGCAGACAACAGCUGCAUCUACGUGAACAAGAUCACCCACGAGGUUGAUGAACUGACGCAGAUCAUUGCUGAUGUCGCUCAGGAUCCAACGCUACCGAGAACAGAGGAUCACCCCUGUCCAAAUCAGAGGCAAGCAGAGCAGGGAGAGAUCAGGAUUGAGCAGCUCUGAGAAAGACAUAGGAGGUGGGGCUUCAGGGAGUGACGAGGAUGGAUCGGAUCAAGAAUGAAGACAUCACAGGGACAGAUUGUGGUAGCUGUUCUGGAAGUUCAUGCAGACCCCAGGCCGCUCAUGGACCGGCCGUGGGACAAUGUGGUCACAAGGAGGCAGUGUUCUUCCAGUCACACAGUAUGAAGGCUGAGGAUGCGAUGCGAUUGUACUACGUCUGCACAGCCCCUCACUGUGGACACCGGUGGACGGAGUAAACGCUGGGAGAAAAAGAAAAGCUCCUGCCAGGACAUAGACCAUCCAUUCACAUGUUUUGCAAAGAAUAGUUCUAGUUUCAUCUAGUGGUUAUGACCUGCAGUUUAUAAUUGUGUCUGAUUUCAAUAAAAAAUGAAUUUUCUAUUUAAAAAAAACUA